UACGUAGGGUGCGAGCGUUAAUCGGAAUUACUGGGCGUAAAGCGUGCGCAGGUGGUUCGUGAUGUCUGGUGUGAAAGCCCCGGGCUUAACCUGGGAAUUGCAUUGGAAACUAGCGGGCUGGAGUGUGGCAGAGGGGGGUGGAAUUCCACGUGUAGCAGUGAAAUGCGUAGAGAUGUGGAGGAACACCGAUGGCGAAGGCAGCCCCCUGGGCUAACACUGACGCUCAUGCACGAAAGCGUGGGGAGCAAACAGG
rnacentral:rRNA from 1 species